rnacentral:rRNA from 1 species
ACUACGGGGGGCAGCAGUGGGGGAUAUUGGACAAUGGGGGGAACCCUGAUCCAGCGACGCCGCGUGAGUGAAGAAGUAUUUCGGUAUGUAAAGCUCUGUCAGCAGGGAAGAAAGAAAUGACGGUACCUGACCAAGAAGCCCCGGCUAACUACGUGCCAGCAGCCGCGGUAAUACGUAGGGGGCAAGCGUUAUCCGGAAUUACUGGGUGUAAAGGGAGCGUAGACGGUUAAGUAAGUCUGGAGUGAAAGGCCGGGGCCCAACCCCGGGACUGCUCUGGAAACUAUUGAACUUGAGUGCAGGAGAGGUAAGCGGAAUUCCUAGUGUAGCGGUGAAAUGCGUAGAUAUUAGGAGGAACACCAGUGGCGAAGGCGGCUUACUGGACUGUAACUGACGUUGAGGCUCGAAAGCGUGGGGAGCAAACAGGAUUAGAUACCCUAGUAGUC